CCUACGGGUGGCAGCAGUGGGGAAUAUUGGGCAAUGGGCGCAACCCUGAUCCAGCAACGCCGCGUGAAGGAAGAAGGCUUUCGGGUUGUAAAAUUCUUUUGUCAGGGAAGAGUAGAAGACGGUACCUGACGCAUAAGCCACGGCUAACUACGUGCCAGCAGCCGCGGUAAUACGUAGGUGGCAAGCGUUGUCCGGAUUUACUGGGUGUAAAGGGCGGGUAGCCGGGUUGACAAGUCAGAUGUGAAAUCCUGCGGCUUAACCGCAGAACUGCAUUUGAAACUGUUGAGCUUGAGUACUGGAGAGGGAGAUGGAAUUCCUAGUGUAGCGGUGAAAUGCGUAGAUAUUAGGAGGAACACCAGUGGCGAAGGCGGUCUGCUGGACAGCAACUGACGGUGAGGCGCGAAAGCGUGGGGAGCAAACAGGAUUAGAUACCCGUGUAGUC
rnacentral:rRNA from 1 species